UCUCCUGGAAACGGGUGGUAAUGCCGGAUGUUCCACAUGAGCGCAUGCGAGUGUGGGAAAGGCUUUUUGCGGCAUGGGAUGGGGUCGCGUCCUAUCAGCUUGUUGGUGGGGUAACGGCCUACCAAGGCGUUGACGGGUAGCCGGCCUGAGGGGGCGACCGGCCACAUUGGGACUGAGAUACGGCCCAGACUCCUACGGGAGGCAGCAGUGGGGAAUAUUGCACAAUGGGCGCAAGCCUGAUGCAGCGACGCCGCGUGCGGGAUGGAGGCCUUCGGGUUGUAAACCGCUUUUGUUCAAGGGCAAGGCACGGUUUCGGCCGUGUUGAGUGGAUUGUUCGAAUAAGCACCGGCUAACUACGUGCCAGCAGCCGCGGUAAUACGUAGGGUGCAAGCGUUAUCCGGAUUUAUUGGGCGUAAAGGGCUCGUAGGCGGUUCGUCGCGUCCGGUGUGAAAGUCCAUCGCUUAACGGUGGAUCCGCGCCGGGUACGGGCGGGCUUGAGUGCGGUAGGGGAGACUGGAAUUCCCGGUGUAACGGUGGAAUGUGUAGAUAUCGGGAAGAACACCA
rnacentral:rRNA from 1 species